rnacentral:misc_RNA from 1 species
GAUGAAGAACGUAGUGAAAUGCGAUAAGUAAUGUGAAUUGCAGAAUUCAGUGAAUCAUCGAAUCUUUGAACGCACAUUGCGCCCCUUGGUAUUCCGAGGGGCAUGCCUGUUCGAGCGUCAUUGCUGCCCUCAAGCACGGCUUGUGUGUUGGGCCUCCGUCCUCCUCCCGGGGGACGGGCCCGAAAGGCAGCGGCGGCACCGCGUCCGGUCCUCGAGCGUAUGGGGCUUCGUCACCCGCUCUUGUAGGCCCGGCCGGCGCUUGCCGACACAUCAAUCUUUUUUCCAGGUUGACCUCGGAUCAGGUAGGGAUACCCGCUGAACUUAAGCAUAUCAAUAAGCGGAGGA